rnacentral:rRNA from 1 species
UACGAAGGGGGCGAGCGUUGUUCGGAAUUACUGGGCGUAAAGGGCGCGCAGGCGGUCCUUCAAGUCAGAUGUGAAAGCCCCGGGCUCAACCUGGGAACUGCAUUUGAGACUGGAGGACUUGAGGACGGGAGAGGAGAGUGGAAUUCCCAGUGUAGAGGUGAAAUUCGUAGAUAUUCGGAAGAACACCAGUGGCGAAGGCGGCUCACUGGACCGGCAUUGACGCUGAGGUGCGAAAGCGUGGGGAGCAAACAGG